GCCUCUGAGAUUAAGCUCAGUUGGUAGAGCAUGAGACUCCUAAUUUCAGGGUUGUGGGUUUGAGCCCCACAUUGGGUG